rnacentral:rRNA from 1 species
CCUACGGGAGGCAGCAGUGAGGAAUAUUGGUCAAUGGACGAGAGUCUGAACCAGCCAAGUAGCGUGAAGGAUGACUGCCCUAUGGGUUGUAAACUUCUUUUAUAAAGGAAUAAAACGAGGCACGUGUGCCUUUUUGCAUGUACUUUAUGAAUAAGGAUCGGCUAACUCCGUGCCAGCAGCCGCGGUAAUACGGAGGAUCCGAGCGUUAUCCGGCUUUAUUGGGUUUAAAGGGAGCGUAGAUGGGUUUUUAAGACAGUUGUGAAAGUUUGCGGCUCAAUCGUAAAAUUGCAAUUGAUACUGGCAGUCUUGAGUACAGUUGAGGUAGGCGGAAUUCGUGGUGUAGCGGUGAAAUGCUUAGAUAUCACGAAGAACCCCGAUUGCGAAGGCAGCUUACGAAACUGUGACUGACAUUGAUGCUCGAAAGUGUGGGUAUCAAACAGGAUUAGAUACCCGGGUAGUC